UGAGGCAUAGCCGGGGCCUACACAUGCAGUCGAGCGGUAGAGAGAAGCUUGCUUCUCUUGAGAGCGGCGGACGGGUGAGUAAUGCCUAGGAAUCUGCCUGGUAGUGGGGGAUAACGUUCGGAAACGAACGCUAAUACCGCAUACGUCCUACGGGAGAAAGCAGGGGACCUUCGGGCCUUGCGCUAUCAGAUGAGCCUAGGUCGGAUUAGCUAGUUGGUGAGGUAAUGGCUCACCAAGGCGACGAUCCGUAACUGGUCUGAGAGGAUGAUCAGUCACACUGGAACUGAGACACGGUCCAGACUCCUACGGGAGGCAGCAGUGGGGAAUAUUGGACAAUGGGCGAAAGCCUGAUCCAGCCAUGCCGCGUGUGUGAAGAAGGUCUUCGGAUUGUAAAGCACUUUAAGUUGGGAGGAAGGGCAGUUACCUAAUACGUGAUUGUUUUGACGUUACCGACAGAAUAAGCACCGGCUAACUCUGUGCCAGCAGCCGCGGUAAUACAGAGGGUGCAAGCGUUAAUCGGAAUUACUGGGCGUAAAGCGCGCGUAGGUGGUUUGUUAAGUUGGAUGUGAAAUCCCCGGGCUCAACCUGGGAACUGCAUUCAAAACUGACUGACUAGAGUAUGGUAGAGGGUGGUGGAAUUUCCUGUGUAGCGGUGAAAUGCGUAGAUAUAGGAAGGAACACCAGUGGCGAAGGCGACCACCUGGACUAAUACUGACACUGAGGUGCGAAAGCGUGGGGAGCAAACAGGAUUAGUA
rnacentral:rRNA from 1 species